GGUUAGGUGGCUCAGUGGUAGAGUGCUUGCCUUGCAUGCAUGAGGCCUUGGGUUCGAUUCCUCAGCACCA
rnacentral:tRNA from 1 species